GCUGCUGUAGGGUAGGAGGAGAGAGGUGUUACUGAAUCAGCUGCUUUCUCUCCCGUUGUCUGCUUCUGCAGAAGC
rnacentral:pre_miRNA from 1 species